rnacentral:rRNA from 1 species
UGCCUCAGACAUGCAAGUCGAACGCGAAAGUUCCCUUCGGGGAGCAAGUAGAGUGGCGCACGGGUGAGUAACACGUAGGUAAUCUACCUUCGGGAUGGGAAUAACACCGAGAAAUCGGUGCUAAUACCGAAUAAUGCAGCGGCACCUAAUGGUGACAGUUGUUAAAGCGGGGGAUCGCAAGACCUCGCGCCUGAAGAGGAGCCUGCGGCGGAUUAGCUAGUUGGUAGGGUAACGGCUUACCAAGGCGAUGAUCCGUAGCCGGCCUGAGAGGGCGGUCGGCCACACUGACACUGACAUACGGGUCAGACUCCUACGGGAGGCAGCAGUCGGAAAUUUUGGGCAAUGGGCGAAAGCCUGACCCAGCAACGCCGCGUGAAGGAUGAAAUCCCUCGGGAUGUAUCUUC